rnacentral:lncRNA from 1 species
GGAGUUGACCUUCUAUCAGUAAGUUUUUAAGCUCAAGCUUCUGUUCAUAUAUCUAAGCUUCAGGUGACUGCUCAUGUUGUAAUAAGUCUAUUUAACAUUCAAAUUUUUGCUGUCAAUUGCCAGUUCAGAUUGAUAACAGUUAUAUAGCGCUACUAUCGAUAUGGCGCGAAGCAUAUGAAUCAUGAUUAUUACUGCAUACAUAUGAUCAUGUUUAGAUAUUUAUUUUCUUCAGUAUACAACAAUCCUUCAGCUAUCCUGUUGAAGGGGAGAAGUAUGCUAUUCUGUUUCAAGAGAAAAACGUAGUUUGUUUAGUCUAUUGGCGUAAUUCUGUUCAAAAAAAUAUUGCAGUAAUUGAGAUACUAAUGUUAUCUUUGAUUAAUGCAGAAAAUGCUCAUGUAUGAUCCAGCUGAAAGAAUUUCUGCUAAAGCUGCUAUGGACCAUCCCUACUUUAAUGGCUUGGAUAAAACUCAAUUCUGAAGUUGAUGCCAGGGAUAUUUAGCAGAAGGACGAAGCCACCAUCGUUGAAGGAUUAGGAUGUCAUCAUCUUGCUGAUUUGAGCUUUCUUGCGUAUAAAUGAUUGACUUUUACAUUGCAUUAAUCUCAUCAACAAUGCUGUACUCUUGAAGAAUUUAUUGUUGUUUUUAUAUUGUCAUUUUAGCUGAUUUGGUCAAAAUCCUGGUAUUUGGAGGUAAUGUUUUAGUAGUAUAGUUCCCAUGGAAAGUGCUAGAUGUACACACACUUUUGUACAAAAUGAUUUACUUCCACUCACAAUAGGAGGGUUAGGGGUCACAGGUUGGGAUCUUUUAUUUCACGUGGGGUCCAAGUGUAUGUGAGAGUGAGUAAAACAUUGAGUUGUACUAUUUGUAUAGACCCAUUUGCAGAGGGCCUAUACAGAUGCACACACAUGGGGGGUGGACCUCACACAUGGGGUCCACCCCCAAUUUGAUAGCCUAGACCCUGUGCAAAGAGGUUUGUGCAGGAGCUUUAUUCCGUAAAACAUUUUUGUACAAAUGUGUGAAUACACAUAUCUUUAUCCUAGUUCCUAUACUAUAUAGUACAAUAAAGUAUACUCCUGAUUUAGCCUUUCUUUGAGUUACAUUUUUCA